rnacentral:rRNA from 1 species
CGCAAGCCUGACGGAGCAAGACCGCGUGGGGGAGGAAUGCCUUAGGGUUGUAAACCCCUUUUAUCAGGGAAGAAGCUCUGACGGUACCUGAGGAAUCAGCCUCGGCUAACUCCGUGCCAGCAGCCGCGGUAAUACGGAGGAGGCAAGCGUUAUCCGGAAUUAUUGGGCGUAAAGCGUCCGCAGGUGGCGAUUCAAGUCUGCUGUCAAAGCACGGGGCUUAACUCCGUAAAGGCAGUGGAAACUGAAUAGCUAGAGUGCCGUAGGGGUAGAGGGAAUUCCCGGUGUAGCGGUGAAAUGCGUAGAGAUCGGGAAGAACAUCGGUGGCGAAAGCGCUCUGCUGGGCCGCAACUGACACUCAGGGACGAAAGCUAGGGGAGCG